rnacentral:rRNA from 1 species
UACGUAGGGGGCGAGCGUUGUCCGGAAUCAUUGGGCGUAAAGCGCGUGUAGGCGGCUUGGUAAGUCCGGUGUGAAACCUUGGGGCUCAACCCCAAGCCUGCACUGGAUACUGCCUCGCUUGAGUCCGGGAGGGGAGAGCGGAAUUCCUAGUGUAGCGGUGAAAUGCGCAGAUAUCAGGAAGAACACCCGUGGCGAAGGCGGCUCUCUGGGACGGUACUGACGCUGAGACGCGAAAGCAUGGGGAGCGAACAGG